rnacentral:rRNA from 1 species
UACGGGGGGGGCAAGCGUUGUUCGGAAUUACUGGGCGUAAAGGGCUCGUAGGCGGCCAACUAAGUCAUACGUGAAAUCCCUCGGCUUAACCGGGGAACUGCGUCUGAUACUGGAUGGCUUGAGUUCGGGAGAGGGAUGUGGAAUUCCAGGUGUAGCGGUGAAAUGCGUAGAUAUCUGGAGGAACACCGGUGGCGAAGGCGGCAUCCUGGACCGACACUGACGCUGAGGAGCGAAGGUCAGGGGAGCAAACGGG